AAGACUAUAUUUUCAGGGAUCAUUUCUAUAGUUCUUUGCUUGGAAAUGUGUUUCGAAAGUGUUUGUCUCCCAACCCACGAUGACGAGUCACGAUGCUCCUUUUUGAGCGUGAAUUGGGCGCAGAGCAACAUCUUUAGUUGUGAGCUCUGCGUUGUUGAUGAACGUUCUGUAUUGCUUUUUGCAAUAUUGAAGAAAGGGGUGUGUUCUGAGUGGU